AAAUGCGACCAACGUUUCUAUAAAAUUAUUUUUACCCGAAUAGGGACAACCUUCAGAUUGUACCUAUUUUCUACCGCACUUGAAUAGAUCCAACUUAUUUGAUAUUUUGAUUACUCCUAAAAUAGAUAAUGAAUCAUAAUAUUUCCCAACAUCAAUACUAAAAAUAAUAAUAAAAAAAAAAAAAUCGUUAGAUUAAGCGACCUCUAUCGGUUAUCAUUCAUUUCCUCACUUUCAGCUGCUGAAAUUCGUUACUUUUCGUUAGUGUUCCUCAAAUUCAUUCUUAAAUCACGUUUCCAACUCCAGAUGUUUCCCGGUUCGGCGGAUUGUACUUGUUGAUCGGAUGGAUUCAUGCUGCUCUAGUAAUAGGUGCUACUACAACAUAUAUAUUUUUACUGUGAGGUAGGAAAUGAGGCUACUUGCUUAUAAGCUCAACCAAUGUCUUGAAAGAUGCAGCAGAACUGGACGGAUAACCACCCUCAAAGAUGCCUCUCAAGGCAAUUGCUCGAUUGCGAACUUCUCCAUCAUCCAUCAGCAGGUUAAUUCCUUGAUUUAUAUCAAACUUCUUCACCAUUUCUGAUUCAUCGUCUAUACCAGCAAUCAUGUGGCCAACAUUAUGAUACUUGACCACCAACUUGGCAUUGUAAAAUUGGUCCCCCCUGAUCGGCCAGGCCAAAAAUGGGAUGCCGCAAGCGAUUGCCUCCACCGUCGAAUUCCACCCACAGUGCGACAACAUUCCUCCCGUUGAGGGAUGACUGAGUAUUGAUAGCUGUGGUGCCCAUCCCUUUAUGAUAAGGCCUCUAUUCCCAACUCUUUCUUCCAAGCCAUGGGGCUGAUACCCUUCUUCUUUAGAUUCUGACAUGGCUCUGCCGCCAGAAAUGCUGACAGGCGGGCCGGGCUGUCCAGCUCCCGGCUUGAUGACCCAUAUAAAUGAUUUGUCCGUCUCCGCCAAUGCCUCUGCCAACUGAUCAAACUCUUCCAGAGAUGGACCAACCGCAGUACCAAAUGACACAUAUAUGACAGAAUGACGUGGCUUCGAAUCGAGCCAUUGGAUCACCUCAUCUUCUGUGUAGUUCGUUUCACGGUUCAGCCUACUAUCCCUAUCAUGAACAACCGAACCGAUUGAUUUCCAGAAUGUCUCCGGCAAUAAUGGACCCACGCCGAAAACAGGCUUCUCCACUUGGCCCGUAAGGUACUUGAGAAAUGGUGCUUCAAGACCAUCACAAGUGUUGAUUAACACAGCAGUAGAGCCUUCAGUCUCAUCCAUCCAGCGUGUGGACUCUCUGGGCCCCCUGCCUCCACCUCCAUCUCUAUCUCCACCUCUACCUCCACAUCUACCUCCACCUCCACCUCCACCUCCACCUCUAUGUCCUCUACUUCCAUCUCCACCUCCAUCUCCACCUCCACCUCUAUGUCCUCUACUUCCAUCUCCACCUCUAUGUCCUCUACCUCUAGGUCCUCUACCUCCUCUAGGUCCUCUACCUCCGCCAUGCUCAUGCCGCCGGCGAUCCUGUCUCUUCGUAUCCGAAUAGCUCAGGGCCAUGCUCUCUGGCAGCCCAGGUAGUUUUUGGGCCUGGUCGGGCCCGAUAUUUUCUACGUGAACUUUCCAUGCAGCAUACUCCAUAGCAGCUGAGCAAGCGCCAGAAGUGAAGAAGGACACAAUGGGAAUGUUUGCUUUCUUGAAAAUGUCUUUGGUCCAGCUCAUCAUCACGUCCAUCACCACGAAUGCAGGCCGGACCUUCUCGUACCUUUCAGAGAGGAAUGAUUCGAUCCCCUGUGCCAGCUGGUGGUGGUGGUGGAGGCCCGGUUUGGUACCCGGUCUAGACCAAUCUCCAUCGGAAGCAUCCGGUGGCAGUGUCGUCUCCGGCGGAGGGGACGAAGACGAUGAUUCGAUUUGGACGAUUUCGACUGAAGGGUGGUGGGGGAGAUCGGAAGGAAUGGAGGAGGAGAGAUGAGAAGGGAUGAUGAAGAUUGAGUUGCAGUUGUGAGAGGAUAAGUGUUUGCAGAGCUCAGCACAUGGAAAGAGAUGGCCUUGUCCGAAAAAUGGCAGCACCAAUAUAUCUGUUGUUGCACUUGCACCUUCCAUUUCUUGCUUAAUUUUCCUAUUCUUUACAAUUCUUGACUGCUAUAUAUAUAUGUUCUUCUCUACACACGCGUACGUGUUUGCGUGUGUGGACGCGAUACAGCAUGACAAAUGUGUAAACAUUCUUGACUUGGAGGUUAAGUAAAUAGGUUGAUGAAAACCAA